CCUACGGUUGGCAGCCGUGAGGACUAUUGGUCAAUGGGCGCGAGCCUUAACCAGCCAAGUAGCGUGAAGGAUGGCUUCCCUACGGGUUGUAAACUUCUUUUAUAACGGAAUAAAGUGAGUCACGUUUGCCUUUUUUUCUGUACUUUAUGAAUAAGGAUCGGCUAACUCCGUGCCAGCAGCCGCGGUAAUACGGAGGAUCCGAGCGUUAUCCGGAUUUCUUGGGUGUAAAGGGAGCGUAGAUGGGUUGUUAAGUCAGUUGUGAAAGUUUGCGGCUCAACCGUAAAAUUGCAAGUGAUACUGGCAGUCUUGAGUACAGUUGAGGUAGGCGGAAUUCGUGGUGUAGCGGUGAAAUGCUUAGAUAUCACGAAGAACUCCGAUUGCGAAGGCAGCUUACUAAACUGCCACUGACAUUGAUGCUCGAAAGUGUGGGUAUCAAACAGGAUUAGAUACCCUGGUAGUC
rnacentral:rRNA from 1 species